rnacentral:rRNA from 1 species
GGCCAGACUCCACGGGAGGCAGCAGUGGGGAAUAUUGCACAAUGGGGGGAACCCUGAUGCAGCGACGCCGCGUGGGUGAAGGAGCACCUCGGUGCGUAAAGCCCUAUCGGCAGGGAAGAAACAGACGGUACCUGACUAAGAAGCCCCGGCUAACUACGUGCCAGCAGCCGCGGUAAUACGUAGGGGGCAAGCGUUAUCCGGAGUUACUGGGUGUAAAGGGGGCGCAGAAGGCAGCGCAAGACAGGAGUGAAAGGCCGGGGCCCAACCCCGGGACUGCUUUGGAAACUGAGCAGCUAGAGUGCAGGAGAGGUAAGUGGAAUUCCUAGUGUAGCGGUGAAAUGCGUAGAUAUUAGGAGGAACACCAGUGGCGAAGGCGGCUUACUGGACUGUAACUGACGCUGAGGCUCGAAAGCGUGGGGAGCAAACAGGAUUAGAUACCCCGGUACUG